CAACUAUUCGCAUAUUCUCAUUUCAGUUUCCGAUAGAUAUGUUUUGACGUAAUGUGGUUAAUUUUCUCAUGAAUAAAUUAUUACUCUAGUUUCAUUUUUAUCUUCCAACAAAAGUGCUUUUGUAAGGUUUGUAUUCAACCAAAAUAAGGCACUGAAAAUGACUAGUCUGAGGGGCUAAGAUUGAUAAACAGAAUACAACAAUCCUCCAAUAAUCGCAACGAAAGCACAAUUCCAUUGGCUCCGGUUAGUAAACUCUUUAGUAGAUUUUACGAACCUAAGUAUACAGAAGUCGUCAAUAUGGAUAUGUCUGCUCUCUACAAAGAAAAUCCCUUCUUCCAGGUGAAUUAUAACAAAGUCAACGACGCUGAUUAUUCUUCAGAAAGUGUUAAUUUAUUCACAAAGCUCGUUAGAAUGAAGUGGCCAUAUGGAGCAAAUAGAGGCUUAACGACCUACAUAUGUUUGUUAGUUGGUUCACAUGGACGUUCGUUGUCUUACACAAUAAACCGUUUGGUGUGUCAUAUUCGGUUGUUUUAAUUUCCUUUGCAACCCAACCAAAAAAGUAGACGAAGAAAAGUAGUCUAAAAAUAUAAGCUAGACACGAUUAAGAUAUAGCUUUGUAAGAACAAUUAACGAGUUUGUAUUCAGCGAAUUAAAGAGUCAUUAGUUAUUUUUAUGCAAAUUUACAAGAAAGUCUUUUUAAUGCUUUUUUGAUUUCGGGUUUAUGAGCAUUGAUUUCUUUGUAUAAUAAUUUGAAAUAGUGGAAACGUGCCGGUCUUCUCAAGAAGUGCAAUAUAUUGAAAAUGGAAGUUGUUAUGGAGAAAGGAAGUCAAUCAACAGUCGAAUUUAAUUAAUUUUUAUGAAUAGCAUUAUAUGGAAAGUCAGGCUGUUUUAAUGAUGUGCCUGUGGAGCCUUAGGGCCUCUGCGAAUUUUAGGCUUUUCAUAUAGUUCAGAUUUGGAAAUAUAUAUUUGACCAUAUUUAUCAAAAAAAUUGUCUUUUUGCUGGGAUGCUGUUUACAACU